AUACGUAGGUGACAAGCGUUAUCCGGAUUUACUGGGCGUAAAGGGCGUGUAGGCGGUCUUGCAAGUCAGAAGUGAAAUUCCUGAGCUCAACUCGGGCGCUGCUUCUGAAACUGCAGGACUUGAGUGCUGGAGGGGAUAGCGGAAUUCCUAGUGGAGCGGUAAAAUGCGCAUAUAUUAGGAAGAACACCGGUGGGGAAGGCGGAUAUCUGGAGAUUAACGGACUCUGAGGCUAGAAAGCGUGGGGAUAAAACAGGAUUUGAUACACUGUUAUUCCACGCCUUAAACGAUGAAUACUAGAUGUAUUGGGUAUCGACUCCCUCUGUGCCGCAGUUAACACAAUAAGUAUUCCGCCUGGGGAGUACGGCCGCAAGGUUGAAACUCAAAUGAAUUGACUUGG
rnacentral:rRNA from 1 species